AUUGAACGCUGGCGGCAGGCCUAACACAUGCAAGUCGAACGCGUGGCGGACGGGUGCGUAAUGUCUGGGAAACUGCCUGAUGGAGGGGGAUAACUACUGGAAAAGGUAGCUAAUACCGCAUACCAUCGGAUGUGCCCAGAUGGGAUUAUCUAGUAGGUGGGGUAAAGGCUCACCUAGGCGACGAUCCCUAGCUGGUCUGAGAGGAUGACCAUCCACCCUGGAACUGAGACACGGUCCAUACUCCUACGGGAGGCAGAAUUGGGGAAUAUUGCACAAUGGGGGCAAGCCUGAUGCAGCCAUGCCGCGUGUAUGAAGAAGGCCUUCGGGUUGUAAAGUACUUUCAGCGGGGAGGCGUUACCCGCAGAAGAAGCACCGGCUAACUCCGUGCCAGCAGCCGCGGUAAUUG
rnacentral:rRNA from 1 species